AGCGUAGGUGGCUGAUUAAGUUAUAAGUGAAAUUCCGGGGCUUAACCCCGGCGCUGCUUAUAAAACUGAUCGGCUUUGAGUGCAGGAGAGGUAAGCGGAAUUCCUAGUGUAGCGGUGGAAUGCGUAGAUAUUAGGAGGAACACCAGAGGCGAAGGCGGCUUACUGGACUGUAACUGACACUGAGGCUCGAAAGCGUGGGGAGCAAACAGGAUUAGAUACCCUGGUAGUCCACGCCUUAAACGAUGAAUACUAGGCUUGAGGAGUAUCGACUCUUCUUGAGCCGUAGCAAACGCGAUAAGUAUUCCGCCUGGGGAGUACGGCCGCAAGGUUGAA
rnacentral:rRNA from 1 species